CCCUAUUAUUUUGAGUGUUAAUGUUUUUACUUGAGUAGUAUUAGUUAUGUUCUUGAAACUUAAAGAAUUUGGCGGUAUCUCACUCCAUUCAGAGGAAUCUGUCUCGUUAUCGAUAGUCCGCGUUGGACCUUACUUAGGGUUAGAUAUAUGGUUUGUAUACCGCCGUUUAUUGAUUAUCUUUUUAGAGUUUAUAAUUUUCUGGUUUCUUUAUUUUGAUUUAUUACAGGUCAAGGUGCAGCUUUUUCUAAGUGUAAUGAUGGAUUACAUUAUCAUUUGUUGUUUGGAUUGUUUGUUUUAAUAUGGGCAUGAAAUUGGAUUUGGUUGUAAUGUUUUGUAGAUUGUUUAUAUGAUAAUUGGUUCUGAGAUAUGUACACAUCGCCCGUCGCUCUCGUUUAAUGUUGUUGGCGAGAUAAGUC
rnacentral:rRNA from 1 species